ACGUGGGUAAUCUACCCGAUGACCGGGACACCCGAGGAAACUCGGGCCUAAUACCGGAUGUGGUACGGAGACAUAAGUCUCUUUACUAAAGGUAGCUUCGGCUUCCGCAUUGGGAGGGGCCCGCGGCCCAUUAGCUAGUUGGUGGGGUCAAAGGCCUACCAAGGCAACGAUGGGUAGCUGGUCUGAGAGGACGAUCAGCCACACUGGGACUGAGACACGGCCCAGACUCCUACGGGAGGCAGCAGUGGGGAAUCUUGCGCAAUGCGCGAAAGCGUGACGCAGCAACACCGCGUGAGGGAAGACGGCCUUAGGGUUGUAAACCUCUUUCAGAUGGGACGAAGGUGAUGCGGUGAAUAGCCGAUGUCAUUGACGGUACCGUCAGAAGAAGCUCCGGCUAACUACGUG
rnacentral:rRNA from 1 species